rnacentral:lncRNA from 1 species
GGAUUCCUUUCUUCUUCAUGACAUACAAGGAGUGGAGCAACAGUGGAACACUGGGAGUGAGGAGAUGAGCCCCGGCCGUGUGGAGGAUUACAGGUGGAGGUGGAGGAUGGUCUUUCACACCUAGCACUCCAUCCAUUGUCUAUGCAAAGCCUGCUGUUCACAGUCCUGGGAAGUCUCUGGAAUUUUGGAAUGGUAUUGGUGAGAAAGGAGUACCACAGGAACCCUGGCCAAGGUUUCAUUCUUGCCUCUAUAUCUGCUGCGACUUAAGAACAUGAAUGAGCUCGGGACCAGAGCACUGGAUUCAAAUCCUGUCUCCAUCAUACAGUGCUGUGAACUUAGGCAAUUGGUUUUUUUUUUAUUAGGUAUUUUCCUCGUUUACAUUUUC